rnacentral:piRNA from 1 species
CAGCAUUAAUGAAAGGAUAUGUGCCCAGC